rnacentral:rRNA from 1 species
UGGGGAAUAUUGGACAAUGGGCGAAAGCCUGAUCCAGCCAUGCCACGUGUGUGGAGAAGGUCUUCGGAUUGUAAAGCACUUUAAGUUGGGAGGAAGGGCAGUUACCUAAUACGUAAUUGUUUUGACGUUACCGACAGAAUAAGCACCGGCUAACUCUGUGCCAGCAGCCGCGGUAAUACAGAGGGUGCAAGCGUUAAUCGGAAUUACUGGGCGUAAAGCGCGCGUAGGUGGUUAGUUAAGUUGGAUGUGAAAUCCCCGGGCUCAACCUGGGAACUGCAUUCAAAAAUGACUGACUAGAGUAUAGUAGAGGGUAGUGUAAUUUCCUGUGUAGCGAUGAAAUGAGUAGAUAAAGGAAGGAAAACCAGAGGCGAAGGCGACCACCUAGACUGAUACUGACACUGAGGUACGAAAGCGUGGGGAGCAAACA